GACGAACGCUGGCGGCGUGCUUAACACAUGCAAGUCGAACGGAAAGGCCCUGCUUUUGUGGGGUGCUCGAGUGGCGAACGGGUGAGUAACACGUGAGUAACCUGCCCUUGACUUUGGGAUAACUUCAGGAAACUGGGGCUAAUACCGGAUAGGAGCUCCUGCUGCAUGGUGGGGGUUGGAAAGUUUCGGCGGUUGGGGAUGGACUCGCGGCUUAUCAGCUUGUUGGUGGGGUAGUGGCUUACCAAGGCUUUGACGGGUAGCCGGCCUGAGAGGGUGACCGGCCACAUUGGGACUGAGAUACGGCCCAGACUCCUACGGGAGGCAGCAGUGGGGAAUAUUGCACAAUGGGCGGAAGCCUGAUGCAGCACCGCCGCGUGCGGGAUGACGGCAUUCGGGUUGUAAACCGCUUUCGCCUGUGACGAAGCGUGAGUGACGGUAAUGGGUAAAGAAGCACCGGCUAACUACGUG
rnacentral:rRNA from 1 species